rnacentral:rRNA from 1 species
GAUGAACGCUGGCGGCAGGCCUAACACAUGCAAGUCGAACGGCAGCGGGGGAUAGCUUGCUAUCCUGCCGGCGAGUGGCGGACGGGUGAGUAAUGCAUGGGGAGCUGCCCAGUCGAGGGGGAUAACAACUGGAAACGGUUGCUAAUACCGCAUACGCCCUAAGGGGGAAAGGUGGGGGACUUCGGUCCUACCGCGAUUGGAUGCGCCCAUGUGGGAUUAGCUAGUUGGUGAGGUAACGGCUCACCAAGGCGACGAUCUCUAGCUGGUCUGAGAGGAGGACCAGCCACUCUGGAACUGAGACACGGUCCAGACUCCUACGGGAGGCAGCAGUGGGGAAUAUUGCACAAUGGGGGAAACCCUGAUGCAGCCAUGCCGCGUGUGAAGAAGGCCUUCGGGUUGUAAAGCACUUUCAGUCAGGAGGAAGGUGGUAAGGCUAAUAUCCUUAUCAAUUGACGUUACUGACAGAAGAAGCACCGGCUAACUCCGUGCCAGCCGCCGCCGUAA